GAUCGAGCUCGCCAUCCUCCGCUUCCCGUACGACUCGUGGGGCACGCCCUUCCAGCAGCUGAAGCAGGUGGUGGAAGAACCUUCGCCCCAGCUUCCUGUCGACCAGUUCUCCCCAGAGUUUGUGGACUUCACCUCUCAGUGCUUAAAGAAAGUUUCCAAGGAGAGGCCGACGUACACAGAACUCAUGCAACAUCCCUUCUUCACCUCCCACGAGGCCAAAGAAACCGACGUGGCUUCCUUUGUCAAAGUCAUCCUGGGGGACUGAGUCGGCCUCGUGCUCUGGAUCUGAGGGAGGGUCUGUUCUUAAAAGAAGCACCAAUCGCAGCCCCUGUUACCUGCAGGACCCCGCCCACCUCACACCUUACACCUCGCCAUUGUUCCCCCCCCCCCCACUGAUACACGGACAGAUGCUGAUGAAGCAGAACGAGGAGUUUGUCCCCGACCCUCCACCUCCACAUCCUGACAUGUGAGGGUGGGGGGUGCAGGCUGUCACACGUAAUCUGGACUCAUUUAAAAUGUCUGUAUGCAAACGCUCCCUCUGUGGUUAGAUUAGUCCCGCCUCUGCCGCCUAUUGCUCGUCAGCAGGUCGACUGUGAUUCGUCAAACAAGCGAGUCGGUGAAGAGCGGAGCAGAUUAUAUAAAAAAAGAUGAAUGUUAUAAUCUAUCUAUGUAUAAUCUAAAUGUUUGUAUACUCAAAGCAAGUGUUGCAUCGGUUUAUUAAUUGACUGCAUGUACAGAAUUAUCUCCAGAUGUUCCAGAGAGAACAGCUGCAGAGCCUCACAUCAGGGCCCUCCCGGUGGCCACUCAUAGGUACUGCACGUCCACUGAUUUCUCUUGAUUACAGCAGAGGUUGACUAAACGUCCUGGGGCUCUGGCUGCCUGUGUGUGUGAGUGUGAGUGUGUGUGUGUGUGUGUGUGUGUGUGUGUGUGUGAGUGUGUGUGUGUGUGUGUGUGUGUGUGUGUAGAGCUGCAUCAUUCUGGAUAAAAGUGAUUAUUUGACGAACAGGUUUGUUUUGAAUGGAUUUCCGUCUCGUGCAGUCGAGCAGCAGGUUUACGUCCUUGGAACCUUCGUAAUUGUCCAAUCACAAAAAAACACGAAUCCAAAAAGAAUGUGAUCAUUUUUUUCUGUGACGAUAAAAUAUUUGUCAGAAUUUACGUUGCGUAAUAUUUAUUUAAUUCUGACAAAUCCUGGAUUUUAUUCAGCUCUAGUUUUUUUUGUCACCACAUUGGGGCCGACACAAAUUCAAUUUUUAGAUAGAAAUUGAUUUGAACUUUGACAUUUAAAUAGUUAUAUAUCUGUUUUAUUAUAAAGCUUAUCAUACGUAUAUUUGACACUCAUGCCCCCUGCUGGUGGAGGUAAACUGAAGGGAAAACGAGAGGCUCGUACUUUUAUCUGCUGACGUCACAAAUCCAGAUUCUGCAGAGAAACAGGAAACAACUUGAUUUUAAAUCCAGAGCGUCGUGCAGCUCUAUGUGACACACACAUGUUAAAUUGAGCUUUGUGUGUUUGUGUGCGUGUGUGUUGACAUUGUGGUCAGUUGUUGGAGAAGAAUUUUCUCCUCGUCGUCUGUACUGAGCCAAUCACAACCAUCUCCACUCCUUGUUCAACAUGAAAAGAACUGGAUAUUAUUACUAUUAUUAUUAAUAUUAUAUUAAUUAUUGUUGUUGUUAUUAUUUAGGUCCAGGUUUUUUUCCCCUCACACGUAUUUACUGCAGUUUCUCUUAUUUAUUACAUCUGCUGUUUUCCCUCUGAAGACUUGACGGAUCCAUUAGAGACGUUUCUCGUGUGUUCACGUGGCCUGUGUUUGUUUUAUUUUGUCGUGUUCUUCUUGGCUCAACAACGCUUUGAAACUGUAACUUGCAAGCCUUCUAUGUGCCUCUCUAUAGAAAACGACUGAGGAAAAGAUGUUGUACUGGGAUGAUGCAGGGACGUCCGCCUGUCAUGUCACCCUCCUCCCCCCUCGCACUCUGCAUGGUUCUACUUCCUGUUUGUGCUGAUGGUCAUUCUCUCUCUUCUACGUGUUUGUGCUCAUCUCUGCUCUCACGGCCGGUUAGCGAGCUGCUCACAGACGAGCUGCUCACAGACGAGCUGCUCACUGACGAGCUGCUCACUGACGAGCUGCUCACUGACGAGCUCGAAUGACAAAAUGGGAAUCGUGGAGCACGUGGCUGGACGACGUCAGGGUGUUGUUGUCGCAGUCGGAGAAUCUACGUCAUCUUCUCGCCUGUUAAUAUUUUGUUACUGGGUUUGUGUCCGUCCUCGCUGAGUUCUCGUCCCUUUAGCUUUUGAGCGAUUGAAUCUUAGAUGUACAAUCUACGAAGAGAAGGAUCCUGUGACAUGAAUGCAGGUUAAAUUACCGUAAUACUUAUAACACAAUGAUGUCAACUGUUUUAAAGUUAGCAGCUUUAAAUUUGAGCAGGGUGUUUAAAGGUGUAUUUUUAUUUGUUUUGGCCACAUGGGGGCAGCAGAACCAAUUGUAACACAUCAAACUUUUCACAAUGUUCAAAGAUGAGACGUCUCAAAAUGUCCGUCCGUGAUCUCCACAGCUUAUUCUCUGCAGGGUCUCUGGUGGGGACUGGUUGGAGACAUUAGAGCGAGGGGUGGGGGGGGGCUCUGGACAAAUAUGCAAAUACACCUGUAAUGUGUAGAACCAGAACCAGAACCAGCUCGUACACUUUAUCUUCAGUACAUCCGGUGGUUUCUUUAUUUUUCUGACGAGCUUCACUCCGUCUUGGUUUUUAUUCUCCGCUUCACGCUGCUCAUUUCACCACCGUCCCGUCUCCUCUGGUGGCGAAGCUGCGUCAGAGGUUCGAUUUCUGUCUCUCAGACAAACCUCAGUGUCAGUCACCGCGCCGAGGACGCCAGGGCUCCGUCAUCAGAACAUUACUGUGCCAAAGAUGGCAGCAAACGCCUUCCGUGUUUCAUGUCAUGAGGAUAUUAGCACAAUUCAAGUCUUAUUUCUAGAUUCAGACCGGCCUGAACACGAGGUCUGUCAGGAUCUGCCAUCUUGUUUUCUAACCCUCGGAGCCCUGGUGAGGGCGCUGUACCAGAAUCCUCCUUGUUCGUCACACAACCGGCGUCGUGUGACCAAAGAGACGCAGCAGAGAGUCGAGGGCUGAGGGGACGGGGGAGUCUUUGAGGAGACCCCCCUUGCUCCGUGAGAGAACUCAUCCGGACACUCUGACAUCCCACCUGUAGAAACUAACAAGCUGCCCCUCCCCCUCCCCCAGGUCGCAGUGAUUCAGGCGUGUGCAGUUUCUGUGGGCGUUAAAGUGCCUGAUGAUGCUUUCCUGUGACGAACACGUGAACUUUUAAACUCUUCUCCGUCAUCGUGAUUGAUGCUUAAACACUGUUUUUGUCCUGUGGUUCCUCUCGGGGACUCGCUGCGUGUUGCUGGGAUGUUUUGCACUGUACCGAGGAGCCGCAUCGCACAGCGGCAGGUUACGAGUGUGUCGCUGGAGGAAAACGCUCAGCCUGAAGGUUUGCAGCCCACGUGGAUGUCGUGUCACUCUGAGACAUCUCGUGGUUUUUCUGAGAGUCGUAAAGUUCUGACUUUUUUAAAAAUGAAGCUGUGAUUCUGUAAAUUCUCAAACAGCAGCUGAAGUUUCUUCUCUCCCCGACGACACCAGGCUUUUCUUUAAAAACUCUAUUUAUUGUUUGUCGAUGUUGUUUUGUUGUGAAAACGUUUCAGGGCCAGUCUCCGUUAACAUCCCCUGAAAACUUUACCUGCAGCUCUGCCAUGUGCACACACCUGCUGGCAGAAAUGUUGCUCAGUAGCACCUCCGGUGGUCAAAAACUCAAAAGUAAAGCAGGAGCCACAAAAUAUCCUGAUGUUUAUCAUAGAUCCAGAUUCUGAUGAUGACAAUUUAUUUUCUGUUUACAAAGUUUAAAUAUAUAUUUUUGAUCAAUAUCUUAAUGAUUAUUUCCAGCAAUAGUAAUUUUAUUAUAUAAAUUGUACUUCUGGCUGUUUAAACAUUUUUCGUUUGCUUUCAUUUUUGAAUUUCUACGUCAAAGAUUUAUUUUAAGGGGACAAACGAGAUGUCGGAGCUUCUGUGAGAAAAUCAAACGUGUGAUGAUGAGGCAACAAAGAAAUAAAAGAUAAACUCGAUGAAGCUGUUUUGCUUUAUUUUCAGUUUAUUUAUAUAUUAGUUUAGUUUCUUUUGAGUUUAUUUGCAGCAGUUUUUCAAAGGAGCAGUUUGACAGAUAUCAUGUGAAACCACAGAAAAUAUGAUUAGAGUAGAUGAAUCUGCUGUCAGAGACUAUAAAGACGUGCAUGGGUCUUUGAUUAGUGUGAACAUUUAGUUUCUCCUUCGUUUUAUUCUGUUGUUUGAGAAUUUACAGCGUCCACGCGUCGCGUCAUCGUAUCUGGUGGAGAAGAUGUUUGUUCUUUGAAGGUAAAAAAUGAUGAUGUCGUGAAAUUUCUUUACUGAUUCAGAGUUGAUCAAAUGUAAACGUCCGAGCUGCUCUCAGAACCUCGUAACUCAAUAACUGGUUUGCUCGAUCUGUAAUCGGCGGUAAUGAGAAACGAGUUGAGUCCAAUCACGCGUCACAUGGUGUGGUCCUGUGUGUGUGUGUGUGUGUGUGUGUGUGUUGAUUCCCGUCCACCGCUCUUUUUGUGGCUUGCUCUCUCACCUGCUGAUUAAACCUCGGUCACUGGGGGCAGGACGUCCGAGUGGAUGUGAUCAUUGUCAGUCUGAGCUGAUGUGAGCGUGCAGCAGCCGGCACGUAUCUCUGGAUGAGUUCUCCAGCAGACGAGCGGCUCAGACUGGCUCGGAGAGAAUCAGAGGAAACUUUGCUCACCUUCCUCAUCCUCACAUUUGAAGCAGGAGAUGAAUCAAAAAUCCGAGUUAGAGGGAAACUUCCAGAUUCCUGUUUACAGAUGAAGCUCUGGAGUGUAAAUCUGUCGUUCGUGCGUGAACCGUGCUGAGGUUUCCUUUGUUCUUAUUGCACAUGUGAUUCAUGGAGCUGUAUGUGACCUCUGACCUUCUGCGCUGUUGUGUUCUUCUUGAAUUCGGGGGUGGGGGAAGUGUCCGGGCCGGUUCUUCAGAGUGAGACGUAUCCAGAGAUGCCACUGUACGUGGAUGAGGGUCUUUCUUUGCUGUCGAGUGGGCGUGUGGGGAGGGUCGUCACGGCUACAGCUCCUCGCCCCAUGGGAAGUGAAGUUCUCAGUAUAUUUACGUGUCUCUAAAGCCUCUGCUAUAAAGACUGAUGACUGUUCAUUUAGAAUUUCUAUAAAUAUUUUAGAUUGCUCAAACUGAUUGUGUGCAAUUGUAAUGAUGGAAAUUCAAUAAAAAGGUAUUUUUACACAA